rnacentral:rRNA from 1 species
UGGGGAAUUUUGGACAAUGGGGGAAACCCUGAUCCAGCCAUCCCGCGUGUGCGAUGAAGGCCUUCGGGUUGUAAAGCACUUUUGGCAGGAAAGAAACGUCAUGGGUUAAUACCCCGUGAAACUGACGGUACCUGCAGAAUAAGCACCGGCUAACUACGUGCCAGCAGCCGCGGUAAUACGUAGGGUGCAAGCGUUAAUCGGAAUUACUGGGCGUAAAGCGUGCCCAGGCGGUUCGGAAAGAAAGAUGUGAAAUCCCAGAGCUCAACUUUGGAACUGCAUUUUUAACUACCGGGCUAGAAUGUGUCAGAGAGAGGUGGAAUUCCGCGUGUAGCAGUGAAAUGCGUAGUUAUGCGGAGGAACACCGAUGGCGAAGGCAGCCUCCUGGGAUAACACUGACGCUCAUGCACGAAAGCGUGGGGAGCAAACAGG